rnacentral:rRNA from 1 species
UACGUAGGGGUGCGAGCGUUUGUCCGGAAUUAUUGGGCGUAAAGGGCUCGUAGGCGGUUUGUCGCGUCGGGAGUGAAAACCAGGCUGCUUAACACCUGGGCUUGCAUUCGAUACGGGCAGACGUAGAGUUCGGUAGGGGAGACUGGAAUUCCUGGUGUAGCGGGUGAAAUGCGCAGAUAUCAGGAGGAACACCGGUGGCCGAAGGCGGGAUCUCUGGGCGAUACUGACGCUGGAGGAGCGAAGCGUGGGGAGCGAACAGG